CGUGUCGUGAGAUGUUGGGUUAAGUCCCGCAACGAGCGCAACCCUUGAGAUUAGUUGCCAUCAUUCAGUUGGGCACUNUAAGGUGACUGCCGGUGACAAACCGGAGGAAGGUGGGGAUGACGUCAAAUCAUCAUGCCCCUUAUGACCUGGGCUACACACGUGCUACAAUGGAUGGUACAAAGGGCUGCGAGACCGCGAGGUUAAGCCAAUCCCAGAAAACCAUUCCCAGUUCGGAUUGCAGGCUGCAACCCGCCUGCAUAAAGCCGGAAUCGCUAGUAAUCGCGGGUCAGCAUGCCGCGGUGAAUACGUUCCCGGGCCUUGUACACACCGCCCGUCACACCACGAGAGUUUGUAACACCCGAAGUCGGUGAGGUAACCUUUUGGAGCCAGCCGCCGAAGGUGGGACAGAUGAUUGGGGU
rnacentral:rRNA from 1 species